rnacentral:ncRNA from 2 species
UGUUUGUUAGGCUCCCCUUGCCUCCCGCGGGGGAAGUCCGGUGAGAGUCCGGCGCUGACCCGCAACGGUGUGCGCGGCGACCCUGUGGUCCGUCGCGUGAGCCCGAUCGCCUGCGGGGUGCAGCGACCCGUU